AUAAUGAUGAUAAAAUGUUAAAAAAACCACACGCGCUUGCAGAUGCGGUUAAGAUUGAACACUAUAAAAUCAACCAAAGUGUAUUCAUUAGUAGUAAACAACUUUGCAAACAUGAAAUUGGCGAUCGUUUCUCUACUGUGUCUGGUUUUUCUUGUUGAAGGCGGACGGGUAAACGUGGCUUCAACGGGAGAAAUCAAAUGUCCAUUUGGCCAGACUGGCGAGUGUGAUAGCAAAACAGAUUGGAAGUGUCCUCGAGCUUGCAGCUGUUUCCCAGAGACACAGACGGACGGGGUUUGCUGCAGUUGGCCUUUUAAAGUGAAGUCACCAUAAGGGCAGAGGAAUUAGAGAUGUUGACGGAAAGGAGAUAUCAUUGAUCUACCAUUGUGUUCCAAUUAUAGGGCUGACACACAUUUUCUGCUAUGACAAUUGCUGAGGUAUUAAAGUGCAACUUCAGAACCAGAAACGAACAUUUCUAAGUAAAGUUUUAUUUUGAGAAACUGAGGAAGCCAUCGUAAGCCUUUAAAUGAGUCUUACCACUUACAGGCAAAGAUUUACCUUCAAACACACUGAAAAAUGUAUCAAUCCUAACAUUUAAGAACUUGUUUGGUUUCAUUUUGCAGCAAAGCCAUUAACAUUGAUAAACAAGUAGCUUUUUUGAAAUCUUUGGUGAUGGAUAUUACUAUAUACACAAGAAUCCUAAAUUAUAUCAGUUUACUUAUUACCAGUUUCUUAAAAACACCAUGGUUCACAUUUAAAUGUCUUAAACGUGAUUAUAGGGAACAGAUAACAAUAAAUAUGUAUACAUGUGUUAACCUUUAUAGGAGACAAUUGACAAAUAAUAGAAACUGCCCAGAUGUAGGGAUUAAGACAUUUCUUUUGUUGGAUAAGUGUUAAGUGCAUCUAGGGAUUAUAGAUAAGGAUUGCAGUAUAUUUGUAUGACGUUUAAGAUGUAUUCCUGGCUAUAUUCUGAAUUUAUUGAGUGUCUUUCUAAUCGCUUAAUGUAACCAUUUACUGGUUCCUCACCUGGCUCAUUAUGUUAUCACAACAUUGUUUCACAAUCACUGUAAUUUGUCUGAACCACAUAUUCCAUUGACCUGGUGCUGCCAGAGAGCUUGUGUAAAAUAUUUCAAUUAG